AGGUUGUUAAUUUAUUUUUCUUAUGUUGUAGGUUGUAAAAGUUUCAUAUUUGCUGAGCUAUUUACAGUUUUAAUGGCAGAACCCCUUUAUGUAGUUUAAGUUUUGUGAUAUUUUAAGAACUUUAUUAUAAAUUUAUGGAAUUAUAUUCUUUAAUGUUUCGUCAGUUUUUGUACAUGAUGAGCAUACUGUCUAUCAAUUUCCUCUACAUACAUAGAAGUGGCUUAUAUGGCUUGAUUUUUGUUUUUCUUAAUCUCCUGUUUAUCUUGAAUAUUGUAGUAAAUCAUUCGUGCACGUCAUAGAUGUGAAAACAAUGUCAGUCAAACCCUACUGUAAUACCGUUUCUCCAUCUCCAACCGAUUCUGUAAGAACGGGCAUCAUUUCCCCAUCUUUCUUAUUCGUUUUUUCAAAAUUUAAAUUUCACUUUUUGUGCAGAAAUCGCUCAUCUGACAGUUUCAAAAUCUAUUUUCAAUCUCUAACACGGUAAGCUUAAUUUUUUGUGACUUAAUGGUUUCAUUAUUCUUGCUAAAAAGUUGCUUUCAAGACCAUUUUUUAGUGGCUAUCGGUUUAAUGACUUUUUGUUUCUUGUCUUGAUUUUUCUCUUAAAUUUUGCUUUCACUAACAUGUUUUAAUGACUUUCGGUUUAAUUGCUAUCAUUUUAAUGUUUAUAUUAUGCCUAUUUUCAUUAAAUAAUUUUUCUUUUAAUUUCAAUGUUCUGUUUUCCUUUUCUUGACACUAAUAUGCCUAUUUUCAGAAAUUGUGUUUCCAGCACUUUUUGCUACCAUGACUUUCUACUAAAGUAUUCUGAAUGUCAGGUUAAUGGCCAUAUUUUUAUGCCUUCGGUUCUUCCUAUCACUUUUCUUUCAUGACCAUUAUUGGUUAUGAAUGUCAGGUUAAUUGUUGUCAUUUUGGUUAUGCUUUUAUUGUUCUUGCCUUAUUGUUCUUGCUCUCAUUUUGCUUUCAUUCUAAUGGUUAUAUUGUCUCUGUUAAUUGUUUCUUAUCUUUUGUAACAUUAUGUUUUCAGAACAAUCAACAAUUAUUUAAGGGAGAUUCUUGCUAUAUCAAUGCCCUGGACAUGUAUAGAUUUUGUCUGUCCUUUAGCUUCAAGUAUUGAUUCGGUGGUCGACGUGGAAGGGAAGCGAUUUCAGUUCUCAACAAAGUCAGGAGGGAUUAGGAAAAGGUUGACGAGUUUUGUUAUAGUGGACAUACUGUCAGCAUUUCGAGGAAUUUUUUCAGGAUAUCAAAGUCAUAGUGUUGUUUGAUCUGCCGCAGCCGUAGUAGUAAUUGGUCUGGAAAAGGUUGGUACACUGAUAAGAUGUCUGGAGCAUGGUGUAAUUGUGUCAUUCAAAAAAGCAAUGCCUUUUAGGAUUCAAGCGAUCUAAGGAUCUAGAAGUAUGGAAAUCGACUACUGGAUUCUUCUUCACCUUCUCAAACUAGAGCUUUGCAAAUUCAUUCAAAACGUUCUAAGAAGCAUUUGCCAUGAAAUAACAUAAAAAACAAGGAUCAUUGAGUUCCAUUAGUAAGUUUAAAGUCUCAACUUCUAUUCUUGAUGAAUUUGUUGUUCCUUACCAUUACUGCUAUAGCCCUGCAGUUUGAGGCAAUACAUUGUUAUUUGAUAUUUUCAAGCCAAUGCAUGAAAUGUGGAAAGACUAUAUUGUGUUGUUGCUUAAAUCCAUUGGGAUUCAGAGUUAACUAGACAGUGAUAAAGCUUGUCAGCUUUGAUCACUGGCUUGACCUACUGACACUGAAAGAGAGUUUUCAGAGUUGGCUUACUAUCUAUUUGUGGCCUCUUACACUGCGAAGCUUUUCAAAAGGCCAACCUUCCUGAUAAUUUUCCUUCAUAUAUUGAAGAUAUAGCUCAUUCAUUCAUAUUGACACUAAUUGUUUUGCUCUUAAAGGUAGGUUUUCUUUGCACAUUCAAACUAAUUAUUUUUAUUAUUUUUAUUGUCAUUCAGAUUAUUUUGAUCUAUAAUAGGGUAAUAGGAUUAUUUUUAUUGUUGUGUUUUUCACUGGGAUAUGAUUUGUGUCUGCAAAAUAUAUCUGAUCCAUGAGCUGAAUGAUAUGCUCGCUUUGUUAACAAAGAUAAUUUGGGUUUAAUAAAUGGUAAAACCUAUUACAACUUGAAUCAUAUACAUAUGCUCAUCUAUCUCUCUUUCUAUUAUGUUCUUAACUUGAAGUUUGAUACUAUGUUGCAUCUAUUCUUUUAGCAAACUCCUCCUUUUUCACCAUGGCAAAUAUUAGUGCUGAAGUUGAAACCAAGAUGCCACAGGAAGCAAUUCUUUCUGUUUCAGCCGAUGUAAGCUGCAUUUGUAAUUGUUUCCUUCUUUGAGGGAAUCAUUCUUUUGAAAAAUCUAAUAGAUGCAUUAGAAUCUUUGAGAGGCGGUUUUAUAUGAAGAAAUAAAGACGAUGUGGACAAAGCUAUCUCAAUGGAUUGCGAUUUAUGUUCUGUGUUUCUGACUGUAAUACAACACAUAACAUGCAUGAAUAGUUCGUAAGUCAUGAUACUAUUCUAGCUUUGAUAAGUAAAAUCAUUUUCAUAAGUAUAAUCAUGAUUUGCAAUUACAAGAUUAAAUUACACUUAUAGUAGAUGGGUUUAUAUUUAAACAGAACAACUUUACUAUGCCUGCAAAAAACUAUCAACUUAUGACUGAAUGAUUGUUUUUCCAAAGUGUGCUUUUAAAGUCAAAAGAAACAUAUGUUGCUUUGCGAAAAGUAAUUAUUAAUAUUUGGAUGCUAAGUGUUGUUUACUGUAAAGACUUAUAUAAACUGUUGGUGUGAAGUCAAAGAGAUUGAUGGAAAUGUCUUUAAAGGUAUUGUUAGUGUUAGAUGUGAAUUAUUAGAAAAAGAAAAGAUCUCAUCAUAGAGUCAACUGAUUUGUUUGGUGUCUUAGCCAAGAAAAAGAGAAGAUUGUAGUCUAUGAUUUUUUAUUAUUUAUUUAUUCUAAGCUAGCUACUUGCAUACCAAUUUAUAGUGUUGAGGUUAAAAAGUUACUCU